rnacentral:tRNA from 1 species
GCUCGGCUAGCUCAGUCGGUAGAGCAUGAGACUCAAUCUCAGGGUCGUGGGUUCGAGCCCCAUAUUGGGCC